UUUCUCCUUCAGACAAAAAUACAUUGUACUCUUUCUCAUCCACCUCAUCUGAAAAAUGUUUUCCCCAAUUUGGUGUCGCCGCUUUAUCCUUUUUCUUCUCUAGGUGAUUCGGAAGCUCUAUCCUUGUAAGUCGGUGCUCAUAUCAGCUCUAUUUAUCUCCUUUUUCUCAGGUGGUCAGGGUUUGACCCUACAAGAUCAAUGUUUCACAGUGUCGACCCACCGAUUUGUACCACAAAGUAAGGGUCUAUCCUUGUUACUUUCUUGACUUAAGAAAUCAAUAUCCAUGCCACUGACCUUCAAUCUUCUUUGUGGAUGCUGAUCUUGGAUCAUCAUGUACCAAAAUAUCAAGGCAGAUCUGGUGUCAUGUGGCAGAACGCUCCAACUACCCCUUUUGCGAUGAAGUUUUUAGAUAGCUAGGGCAUCUAGCUAGGAUUAGAACAUUUCCUUUGUUAUUGUACUAACAAACUGCUUUCUGAAUGUGCUUGAUAAUGUAUUGCACCCCCUUGAGAUUGA